rnacentral:rRNA from 1 species
GACGUAGGGCGCGAGCGUUGUCCGGAUUUAUUGGGCGUAAAGAGCUCGUAGGUGGUUUGUCGCGUUGUUCGUGAAAACUCACAGCUCAACUGUGGGCGUGCGGGCGAUACGGGCAGACUUGAGUACUGCAGGGGAGACUGGAAUUCCUGGUGUAGCGGUGGAAUGCGCAGAUAUCAGGAGGAACACCGGUGGCGAAGGCGGCGUUCUGGACUGUUUCUGACACUGAAAAACGAAAGCCAGGGGAGCAAACGGG